UACAGAGGGUGCGAGCGUUUAAUCGGAAUUACUGGGCGUAAAGCGCGCGUAGGCGGCUUUGCAAGUCGGGUGUGAAAUCCCCAGGCUUAACCUGGGAACUGCAUUCGAGACUGCAUUGCUAGAGUAUGGGAGAGGGAAGUGGAAUUUCCGGUGUAGCGGUGAAAUGCGUAGAGAUCAUGAGGAAGACCAGUGGCGAAGGCGGGGUCUCUGGACAGUUCCUGACACUGAGACACGAAGGCCAGGGGAGCAAACGGG
rnacentral:rRNA from 1 species